rnacentral:misc_RNA from 1 species
CCCCAAAAUAGCAAUAAUAUCUUGUAGAUUCUUAUAGUUUUGGAGGACUUUCUGGACACCACGAGCAGUAUUGUAGUGUUCUUCUCCCAAGAUAUGAGGAGACAGCAUGCGAGAAGUAGAAUCCAAGGGAUCAACAGCAGGAUAAAUACCAAGCUCAGAAAUUUGACGGGACAGCACUGUCGUGGCAUCAAGAUGGGCAAAAGUGGUUGCGGGUGCGGGAUCUGUCAAGUCAUCAGCAGGCACAUAAAUAGCCUGCACAGAUGUAAUUGAACCCUUCUUGGUUGUGGUAAUACGCUCUUGGAGGCCUCCAAGAUCUGUCGCCAAGGUAGGUUGGUAGCCAACAGCAGAAGGGAUACGGCCAAGCAAAGCAGACACCUCUGAGUUAGCUUGGGUGAAGCGGAAAAUGUUAUCAAUGAAGAGAAGCACAUCUUGUCCUUCAGCGUCUCUGAAAUGCUCAGCCACAGUCAAUCCUGUAAGCCCAACACGAGCACGUGCACCAGGAGGCUCAUUCAUUUGACCAUACACAAGAGCACAUUUGCUGUCACUCUGCUUAUCUCCAAGCUUAAUGACACCGCUUUCAAUCAUUUCCCUGUACAAGUCGUUACCCUCUCGAGUACGUUCACCCACACCAGCAAACACAGAGAAACCACCAUGAGCCUUAGCAACAUUGUUGAUAAGUUCCAUAAUUAGCACCGUCUUUCCUACACCAGCACCACCAAAGAGCCCAAUUUUACCACCUCUUUGGUAAGGUGCAAGGAGAUCUACAACCUUGAUUCCUGUAACAAGAAUCUGUUGCUCAGUUGCCUGUUCAACAAAAGCUGGAGCUUCUCUAUGAAUGGGCAGAAAGUGCUCAGUUUUGAUGUCACCCUUCUCAUCAAUGGGCUCUCCAAUAACAUUCAUGAUGCGUCCAAGGGUAGCCCUACCAACAGGCACGGUGAUAGGAGAGCCAGUAUUUAAAACCCUUUGUCCUCUCACAAGCCCUUCAGUCCCAUCCAUAGCAAUAGUUCUCACCAUAUUUUCACCCAAAUGCUGAGCUACUUCCAAUACCAACCGGAUCGAAUUGUCCAUCACUUCUAGCGCCGUCAAUAUCGGAGGCAAGCCUUCAUCGAAGCGCACAUCCACGACGGCCCCAAUUACCUGACACACUUGACCGAUUGCACCUUUUCCAGUGAAUUCAUCAACGAUCUUCCCACCAGACCCAACGGUGGAAGUGGAAGAAGGAGGCUUCGGUGGAGAAGACGAUGGCGCCGCGGAUGCGGAGGUGGAGAAGUGAGUGACGCGUGAGAGGAGGGAGGGGAGAGGGCGAGCGAGAGGAGAUUUCGAGUGGUGGGAGAGCGACGGUCUGGAGGAGCGACGGAGGGAGGAGCGGAGGAGAGCAGAGAGAAGCUUACGAGACGACAUCGUUUACUGUAGAGAUAGUGAUCGGAGAAUGUGAGGCUUUGAUGAUGCUAGUGAGGAACAUUCAUUGGAAAAAGAAUUGGAUUCUCAGUGCUCUAGAGAGUUUAGCCGUUGUUUUGGAUUAUGGAAUUUUGGGUAAUCUGUUAGUCUAAGUCGG